rfam:Lottia gigantea unplaced genomic scaffold LOTGIsca_253, whole genome shotgun sequence.
UGUUGAUAAGUCAGUGGAUGAUUGCAGGAUAUUCCAUCAGUUAUCAGCAGUUGUACCACUGAUUUGUUAAUGA